GCGCACCAGUCGCGAAACCUCCGCAAUGCUCGAAAGAGCGACGGGGGACUCCAAGUGCCUACGCUUUGCGUAGGCUUCUCCCAAGCCUAAAAGCUUGGGGAAUAAGGGCUGGGUAAGACGGGUGCCAGCCGCCGCGGUAAUACCCGCGGCCCGAGUGGUGGCCGCUUUUAUUGGGCCUAAAGCGUCCGUAGCCGGUCUGGUAAAUGCCUGGGUAAAUCGUCCGGCUCAACCAGACGAAUUCCGGGUAGACUGCCAGACUAGGGACCGGAGGAAGGAGAGGGUACUCCGGGGGUAGGGGUGAAAUCCUGUAAUCCUCGGAGGACCACCGGUGGCGAAGGCGCUCUCCUAGGACGGGUCCGACGGUGAGGGACGAAAGCCAGGGGAGCAAACCGGAUUAGAUACCCCCGUAGU
rnacentral:rRNA from 1 species